rnacentral:rRNA from 1 species
AUUGAACGCUGGCGGCAGGCUUAACACAUGCAAGUCGAACGAGUGGGGACGGGUGAGUAACACGUGGGUAACCUCCCAUCAGAGGGGAUAACACUUGGAAACAGGUGCUAAACCGAUACUGAUGGAUGGAACCGCGGUGCAUUAGCUAGGUGGUGAGGUAACGGCUCACCAAGGCCACGAUGCAUAGCCGACCUGAGAGGGUGGUCGGCCACCCGUGGACGGAGCAACGGCCCAGACUCCUACGGGAGGCAGCAGUAGGGAAUCUUCGGCAAUGGACGAAAGUCUGACCGAGCAACGCCGCGUGAGUGAAGAAGGUUUUCGGAUCGUAAAACUCUGUUGUUAGAGAAGCGGUAUCUAACCAGAAAGCCACGGCUAACUACGUGCCAGCAGCCGCGGUAAUUC